rnacentral:rRNA from 1 species
AUGUUGCGCUGCGCCAGCUUCAGCUCCUGCUAUCUUCCCCAGAUUAAUGCCACGCCCGCCCUUCUUCUCCCUCAACUCAAGCAGCUCGACCUCUUCGACGUUGUCAUCUCGAAGAAGGCUAUGGAGCACCUGCUCCGCAGCUGUACUGCGCUUGAGUACCUUCGUCUUGAGCAGAUCCACGGGUUCAUUAGCCUCCACAUCGCCUCAACGAAUCUCCAAUGGUUUUAUGUGUCUUGCUGGCCCCGCAACAAGACAUCAAUUGGGAAGAGAUCAUUCCAGUUGUUCCACAUUAUGGUCAUUAAGAAUGCGCCUUUCCUUGAGAGAUUGCUUGUAUCGGAUCUAGAAGGUCCAACAAAAAUCAGGUUCAUUGACGCGCCGAAAUUGACAGCGUUGGUGUACUCGUCUGCCAAAUUCUCCGAACUCUUUAUUGGAUCCGUAAUCGUUCAGGUACAACACUCAUCUUCUUCUCCGUCUUCUUGA